GAAAACAUUUAUCUAGUUAUGUACGCGUUUAGUGUGUGUCAAAUUUUCAAAUGCCUGGUAUUUUGACAUGGUUAUUUGGAUUUUCUUUCUUGAAUACAUUCUUCAUUUUGUUAUUAAAGGGUGACCCAGUGCAUAAAGUAUCCCACACUUGAUUGUAUUGCAUUUUAAAAAUCUCGUUCAGAUGAGAGAUUGUUUGAGGAAAAAAAAGAUCUAAUGGAUGAUCAUGUUUAGCAUUAAGAUGUGUGGGAAAAGUUCAGUUGGCAAAUUAAGAAAUGAUUUCGGCUUACUUGUAUGCAUUAGCAACGUAGUUUUAAUUGAGUACCUCAUUGUAAUUUCCAUUGACAACUGUAACCUGGUGGGAGCUUUGGAGCUUUAGAGAUGCUUGAGCGUACUUGGAUCUUAGACUUUCAGCAAGAGUGAUUCUCUUAUGUCUAAAAGCAUUAGUAUGUGGAUGAUAUCAAUGUUUCAAAACACAUCAGAUAGUCCUUGGUUCACAGCAUUGAUAUAUAUUGGACUUGGAGAAUGGUUUUCCGUCAUGGUGAAAUUCCAAUCAUAUUAUGUCUAUAAAAUGUGUUUUCUCUUACUUGUCUCAUGCCAUUUACCCUCUUUUCUGGCAGUUUGAGGCCCUUCCAUUUCAGGGGUUUUACAUUUAUAGUUGUGCAACACUUGAAAAUCAUUUGAUUAGGUUGCAAAUGAAGUUUUGAGAAAUGAUUCAAAAAAUUGAUAUUGUAAAUAUGCUUGAAAAAUUGGUGAAAGCCUAUGUAAUGUGUGCUCAAAUCUUUGAGUUAGGCCAUCUUUAUGCAUUCAGAUAAUCUAAUUGUCAUGCCUUGGAACCAUUAUACAGGGCUAAAUCUAAAAAUUGUCUUUUUUUUUUUUU
rnacentral:misc_RNA from 1 species